GAAAAAGGUGCAAGAGUUAAAGAUGUCCUACAUGGUUAUAAACGCCAAUAUCUAUUGGCAGCAAAGACAAGCAAAAUUUUAGCCUCCAUUGGAGAAUCCGCCAAGAGCCAACCUCAACCACAAGAGUUCAAAGACAAUUCGGUUGAAGUUCAGAAAAUAAAGAAAGAAGGUUUGGUUGAGUUAGAAAAUAAAGGCAAGAAUGGCAUAGGUUCGGUUAAUGCUAAGUGAAGAAGAAAGCAGAAAGAGUAAGCUCGGUUGAAUAGCCAUUGGUGUCUCGGAUUUGGAGGGUUCCUUGGAGUCGUGUUUAUGGUGGGUCAAGCCAUAAAAGGUAAGAGGUUUGAGGUUUAAAUUUUAAGCAUUCACCAUGUUUAGAUGCUGGUUAAAAGGAGAUAUUUAAAUAAGCUAGGAAUUUAUGAAUUCUAUUGUGAAUACUAUUGCAAUGAAGUUAGAAAAAGAAGGAUGAGCUUGUUGGAAAUUUGGAUUAAGGUCUCGAACCAGAGGUUACUGUUGAAGUUAAUUAGCUCUUAAAGAUUCGGCUAAGAGAACCUGCCAAAGACUUGUAAUUAGCAUCGACAAGCUCACUAAAGGUUGAAUUAUUGCUGAGAAAUCCCACCAAUUGAGAUUGAUGAUUUUAUAAGUGAGAUACUUGAUAGUAGACCUACUAUCACACCAGGCUAUGUGACCUUUGUGCACAAAGGAGCUCUAACUCGGGGAUGCCUAUGGGCUUAUUAAUUCCAUAUGUGACAAAGACUACAGGAUUACAUACGUGAUGAGCUCUACUUAUUGCCAUCACCCUUGAUCAUGAUCAUGGUUACAUUGAUACGUGGUAAUACCACGAGUUUAAUGACAUGGCUGGGGCCACAGGUAAGUGUAGUUGGACAUACUUAUUAUGUGGGAGAAGGCCUGCGGGUUUAAAGUCUUACUCAAGAUUUGUUUGCUUUACCUAUUUUAAUAUUGACUAUGGCAUGGUAUUGAUUGCCAUAAAUCUGUUUAUUUCAUGGCAAGAGCUUAUUGUAUUUGAUUUGAUUAAAGUCUAAGUAUGUAUUUGAUUACGCAUUGAAACUGUUUUAUGCUUACCAGGAGAAAGGAAUGAAAUUGUGAUGUUUAGCAUGCUUUCAUUU